rnacentral:lncRNA from 7 species
AUGCCUGAUGUUGGCAUUAAAUGUGUGAUUUUCGUAGAGAUAAUGCGUGAUUUUCAGGUUACAUGGGAGAUUUUUGAAGAGAAAAUGUGUGAUAUUCGGGAUAAAUCAGGGAUUCUUGAAGAGAAAAUGCAUCAUUUUCGGGUUGAAUGGGGGAUUCUCGAAGAGAAAUUGCAUUUUCUACUGGUUAAAUGGGGGAUUUCUGAGGAGAAAAUGUGUGAUUUUGGGGAUAAUGGGGUAUUUUUGGAGAGAAAAUGCAUGAUUUGGGGGUAAAUGCGUUUUUCCAAGGAAAAGGUGAGAUUUUGAGUUAAAUGGGGGUUUUCAAGAGAAAAUGCGUGAUGUU